UAAAUCAGUCUGCCUAAUCCACCUGAUUACCUAAAAACUUUUGUAAACGGUAAACCGGAGCGGAGGAACCAAUUCUGGGGCGUAUCUUGCACAAAGUGAAAAGUUAAGAGUGAAGAGUUAAAAAUUACUAAAUAAAUAACUCAUAACUCAUCACUCACAACUCAUAACUUUUUUAAGAAGGACAUCUCUCAGUCCUAGCCCGUCAGCUAACUUCGUCGGCAUUGAGAGGAGACUGA
rnacentral:sRNA from 2 species